AAUGGCAACUGUGAAACCUUUUUGGACCCACAGGUUAAAAAUGAAACCUUUGGACUAAACUGGCAAAAUGGCCCAAACCACAGGGACUAAAAUGGCAUUUAACUCUUUGUAAAAAGAAACAUAUCAAGGUUCAAGCAUUUUUAUAAAGUAAAUACAAAUGUAUAUUUAUGUUAACAACACUUCUAUAACCUUCAUUUGCGCGUGUGAGGUGACCUCGGUGUUCCAUCAUUCAACCUUCAACUCUUCACGGAACUACCAAAAGAAGCUUUGCAAAACAGAUUGUGACCGAUGAUUCCAGUAGGAAUGCCUAGAAACGCAUUUAAACUUCAUUGCUCGUUGCGUUGUAAUUUCCUUUCAAUCCUGUUGUAUUCUGUUUCCAAUACUUGUAAUAAUUAAUUAUCAAUGAAAUGAAAUUUAAUUAUUUGAAUACU